AGCAUAAGAAGUAGCAAUACUUUUGGUGGCGACCGGCGCACGGGUGAGUAACACGUAUGCAACCUACCUGUAAGCGGGGAAUAACCCGAAGAAAUUCGGACUAACACCGCAUAAUACUGUUGAACCGCAUGGUUUAACAGUUAAAUAUUCAUAGCUUACAGAUGGGCAUGCGUAUGAUUAGCUAGUUGGUGGGGUAACGGCUCACCAAGGCAACGAUCAUUAGGGGUUCUGAGAGGAAGGUCCCCCACACUGGUACUGAGAUACGGACCAGACUCCUACGGGAGGCAGCAGUGAGGAAUAUUGGUCAAUGGGCGAGAGCCUGAACCAGCCAAGUCGCGUGAAGGAAGAAGGUUCUAUGGAUUGUAAACUUCUUUUGUAAGGGAAUAAAGUGCGCUACGUGUAGCGUUUUGUAUGUACUUUACGAAUAAGGAUCGGCUAACUCCGUGCCAGCAGCCGCGGUAAUACGGAGGAUCCGAGCGUUAUCCGGAUUUAUUGGGUUUAAAGGGUGCGCAGGCGGACCCUUAAGUCAGUGGUGAAAGUUUGCAGCUCAACUGUAAAAUUGCCAUUGAAACUGAGGGUCUUGAGUGUAAAUGAGGUAGGCGGAAUGUGUUGUGUAGCGGUGAAAUGCUUAGAUAUAACACAGAACACCAAUUGCGAAGGCAGCUUACUAGGAUACAACUGACGCUCAGGCACGAAAGCGUGGGGAUCAAACAGGAUUAGAUACCCUGGUAGUCCACGCAGUAAACGAUGAAUACUAACUGUAUGCGAUAUAGUGUAUGUGGCAAAGCGAAAGCGUUAAG
rnacentral:rRNA from 1 species